GUAUCACAAAUAAAAAUAUAACACAAAUAAAUAAAUUUUGACAGACGUCAUAUAAUCGCAAUGGUAUAAUAACUGGAAAUUCAAAGUGAUUCAUCAAAUCUAAUAAUGUUUAGGAAUUAACAGUUUAAAUUAACCAGAAUAUGAACGCUACAAAUAUUUCUCGGAAUUACUUGUAUGGCCGAAUUGUGAGGUACAAGAGAGGCCAUUGACAAGUUUCAGUAAUGGAGCAGAUAUUCAUGAUAGAAGUAUUUGUCAAAAAAAUAAUUCUCAAAAUAGAACCACCGGAGAAAGAUGAGUUCGAACUUAAACAGGAGGCAGAGGAAAAGAAAAAAGAGAGCAGAGGCUUUUAGCCGCUGCUGAAGCUGCUAACAAAGGUAAAAAAGGUGGUAAAGGUGGCAAAGAGAAGAAAGGUAAAAAAGGAAAAGAACCACCAAUGCCUUCGGAAGAAGAAAUGAAAUUCAUGCAAACAUGCACGUUACAAAUGAAUUGUCUACCAGUAUUUGAUUUUUACGUAGCACACGACAACUUCAUUGCCCCAGAGCCCCCUCCGCCUCCAACAAAGGGAAAAGCAAAACCAGCUCCAAAAAAAGGCAAAGGUAAAGUAAUGCCGAAGAAGAUAGUUCUCCCAUCAGAACCAUUGCCCCAACCUCCAUACUUUGGUGUAGGAAACUCUGUUAUGUUUCUCUCUAGACCCUCAAAGCUGGAAGAAGUUUUGCGUAAGACCCCAAUCUAUAUCACAGUAUGGAAUAGAGAUCAAGAAAUGAAUUGCGUCGGAUUUUGUGUGGUCGAAUGGCAUGAGUCAUUCUUCGAAAGCCUACAAAGAGCUGCUCAACUUAACCCUGUAAAUAUGGAUCAAGCAGAAUACAGAGAUACCUCGAAACAAGAAAUGGUAACGAACACGGUCGAAUUGACUCGACCUUUACAAUGCGAGGAAGACUUGAAACCUUCGGGAGAAAUAGAGUUUUUCCUCCGACUAACGUGUUUGGGUAACAGAGUUGUGAGCUACUUCAUUAACUUGCCAGAAAUGGAGAGGUUACCUGGUAGGAAAUACCUGUCCGAUGACUUGAAAUUAAAAGAUGUUGAGGUGGUCAGACAUUGGGAAGGUACUACUAUAGAUUCUGUACCGCCAGUAGCUUAUUUUUUCGGAGCUCCAGAUAUUACCAGGGAACCUGUUAGGGCUGUAGAAGAACCAACAGUUUACGAAGACUUCACUGCUCCGUUUACUGAUAGUGAAUUAGCGAUUCUCUCGAUGGGUUUUCCUAAAGGUCCUUGCGGUGGAACUAAUUGCCCAAAACGUAUGGACUAUAGAGGCAGUCAGCAUCAGUUCAUACAUGGAGAGGUUAUUCAGGGGAAGUAUGAACAUGGAUCAUUUGUUAAUAAGAGAGAUGUACACGGUCCAUGCGGGAGGCUGGAUUGUCCCCUGGCGAAAAAAGUAAGAGCGUAUUUGUGUUCCGAAGGUUCUUAUAAGCCAUGCGUUAAACCGUGUUGCAAAGAUUAUUAUUAGCAUUUUGAGCUAAAUUUUAAGUUCAAUUUUAAAAAAAACACGUUCGAUUAAAAAGACGAGUUGAAAACCAUUUUAAGCAAUAAAAUUAUUAUGAAACA
rnacentral:sRNA from 1 species